GAACUUGUCAAGGAGCAGGAGGGAUGGCCGCACGCAUCCCUUGCUACAUCCUGGGAGGCUGCUACUGCUUCAUCCUGCUGCUCCUGCAGCUGCUCUUCCACCUGUGCUGGCUGCGGGGCAGCCGCCAGCAGCAGGGCAGACGUGGGGAAGCCUGCGGCUGCUGCUGGGGAGAGGGGAGCCAGCGUGCGGGAGCAGCCAGGGCCGGCACCCCAGGCUGGCAGCAGCAGCCACCCCGCAGUGCCCGGGCAGAAUGAAGGCGCUCAGCUGGUGGCUCAGGGCUGCUUUUCCUCCUGGCACCUGCCCCUCUGCGGGACAAACCGGGGUCCUGGCCGCUGCCUGUCCCCAGGCACCGUCCUGCCUCCAGUGCACAACCACUCCCCACACUCACAUACCCCUUCUGUUAAAUUCCCACUCCCAUGGGCAAAUAAAAACCUUUCCUCUGGCAUCUCUGUCUCCAAAGUGCCUGGCAUGCAGCUGCAGAACCACCUGAAGCAGUUCCAGCAGCAAAGCGAGGGCCGGAAGAGAUUCCCAAAGCUUCUGGCCUGCCCCAGGAGGACCCAGGGGCUGCUUUGGUGGGGCAGGGGCUGCUCGGCUGCUGAGGCUGAAGGGUGACAGCUGAAGGAAGGCCAGGUGAGCUGCAUCCCCUGGAAAAUCCCCCCAAAAACGGGGAUGCGAUGGACGCGUUUUGCUGGCAGCUCCCUGCUGCGUGCGUGGAAGGGGUGCUGGGGCAGAAGCAGCGCCCACGGUGGGGGCACAGGGGACACCCCGCAGCCCCCCUCUCUCCCCACAGCCCCACAGUGUGCAGGUGGCACAGGAAGGAGCCGGGGCUCGCCUGCCCGCAGCAAACCCCACGGCGCCGAGGGGCUGAGCGAGAGCCUCCGACUUCCUCCCGGCCCAGGCGAGCGCAGCAGCCACAGGCGAUGAGUCCCGGCCGGCGCUGCUGGGGCCUCGGCUCCCUCCUGCUGCUGCUGCUGCUCGGGAGAAACCUGGGCUUCCUCGUGGAAAUCCCGCAGGAUGCAGUCAGUGGCACCGUGGGGCAGUCCGUGCUCCUGCCCGUCUCCUACACAUUCAACAGCUCCCCUCGCUUCCCAGUGGCAAUUAAGUGGACGUUUGGUCACCCCUCACAAGUAAUCAUCAUCGGCACAUUGCUGGACUGCUCCCUGGGUGCUGGGGGCGCUCCCAAGAACUGUACCGCAAAGUGUUUCCCCAGUGCUUCACGUUCACGCCGUGUUGAGCUCUUCCCCGAGAACGCAUCCCUGCUGCUGCAGGACCUGAAGCUCAGUGACAGCGGGGUGUACAACGUCAGCUUUGCACAGCAACAACAAAGCAGGCACAUCACCCUGACCGUGCUCCAGCAGCCUGUCCCCACAGGCCCUUCCAGCGAAGGCACCAGCAAUCAAGACCACACCCAUAACUACAUAAUUGGAGCUUGCUCAUUAAUCUUCCUCCUUCUGCUGUUCCUGGUCUUCUGCGUUUGGCGCUUGGUGCAGCAGAAGAAGAGGAGAAUCGUUAAACAACAGCAGGCCCUGAACACACAGGAGCCCCACGUGGACAACACUGCGGCGAGGGAAGUAAUGACCAUUUAUUCCAGAGUCGGAGACAGCUUUGAACAUCCAGAGCUGAGAGCAUCACCACAGGUCAUCUACUCAUCCAUAACCUCCCUCGAUUCCUGAGGACAGGACUGGGCACCACCAGCUCCUGCUUUGGCUGCAGGAGCUGCCCAGAGCAGAGCUCUGAACUUUGCAGGAGAUAGCCCUGCCACAAAGGUGGCUGGUGAUUUUGUCACUGACCAGAGAAAUGUGCCCAAGGUAAAGGCAAAUCAGCAGUGCAUCCAUGGGAAGCCUUAUUCCACUGACUCACCUUAAUCUGAGGGCUAACGGAGAGCACUGAAUGUAUUUCAGUCCUGUGCUCCAGGGUCACUUACCAAUUGUCUUGUCAUAUUAAAAGAACGCAUGAAGAAGAUCUUUUGACCUGGAAAGCUGUCCAUAUUUUUAUGAGUAUGCCAAGUUACUGUAGAGCAGACUCUUCCUGCCAUGAAAUCUGCUUGGCCUUGGGAUCCCAGGGCAAUAGGUUCCUCUGCUGAUCUUUUGAAGAGUCCCCUUAAAGGGCAAGGAGAUGGGACUUACUGUACAAUGGAGUUCCUGGCACGUGGUGGCAUUCCUUUAAAGCUGUUUGUACAGGUGGAAGAAAGCUGAGAUGCCUAACUCUGUUUUAAAAUUAAAAGCCACAUCUCCCCUAGCAGCACCAGCUUUUUUAAAAUGCAGUAAGGGCAUAAAUUGAUUUUGUUUUGCUCUGGGCUUCAUGGAAAACAAGACAGUACAUACCGAAACAUGGAGCCCCAUCAGUAAUAAAUGGAUGCUAGGACAGGACA
rnacentral:lncRNA from 1 species